rnacentral:tRNA from 1 species
AACUGUGUGGCGAAGUGGAAUCGCAUUGGGCUCAUAACCCAAAGGUCAAUGGAUCGAAACCAUUCUCAGUUU